AUAGGAUAUUAGACUCCGGAAAGACAUCCUUAAUUGUAAAUGCCUGGCGAGUAUUUGCUAACCGGAAUGCUUCGUCCGGGAGAAUAUCAAUAUGCGCUUUAACACCCAAUUCUUCCAACAUGACCUGAGGUGUUGAAAGUUCUGAAACCAUUAAAUAUCCAUGAUAAAUAUUUUUUUGUACCUUUGGAAGUCUCUCUAUAUAUUUUAAGGCCCAGAAACGAUUAAUGUAUCUUCCUAUAGUUUUAAUUGAUUUUUCUUUUUGGUUGUACAAAUUUAGUUUUCCACGAAGAAUACCAUCAGGUAUAGUAUUUUUUGGAGUCUUUAAUAAUACCGACUGAAUCUGAUGAUGAGUGAAGAAGUCGGUAAACCGGCGUAAAGGAGAGGUAGACUGAAUAUAGCCAUCCUUUAGCCCCAAAGAAAAGUGGGAAACAGGUGUGGAGGCUAAAUGUGAACUUUCAAAUAAAGGCAUUACAGAAAGUGAAUACUUAGUUUCAACGAGUCCCCAAGAUGACCUGUUACUUAACAAAGUUUCAAACGCUUUUCUUCGUACACCAUCCAUAAUUGGAUAAGGCUGGCCCCUAAAAAUCCCAGGUAAUUUAUGUUCUUGAAAAAAUAAUGAUGAAACCCGGCCAGCCAAUAUCAUGCACUCUGAUAUUACUGAUUCUGCCAAGCUAUACCCUUCACUAACGUUCAAACUAAUUGUAGGGAAGGAAGACCAGUAUACUGGAUGAUUCAGAUCACCAAGAUUAUAAGGGACAUUAUUAGGCAGCAAUUCAACUGUCGGAGUGGGUUGUGCAAUAACAAACGCAAACUUUUGUAACCUAGAAAAACAGGCUUGUUUCGAAAGUUCAUAUAUUCUUAAUAUAUCUUUCAUGUGAUCAUUUGAUACUCCUUUUGUUUCCUCAUCCACUGGUCCAGAAACGAUGUCUUUCGCAAUUGAUCGAUUACUAUGCAAAGCUUUAUCCAGUUGUUGGGGUGUGUAUUUGAUAACUGAGGAAAUGAAGCUAGGCCGAACCUUGUAAUCAAGUAUAUCGCCAUUUUUUGAAAUUUUAGCACUAAAAGUUAAUGCUCUUUGAGCUGUAGAAGAUGAAUCUAAACUCCAAUAUUUCUGAGUGAUAUUGAGAGGUAGCAUAUACACAAUUUUGUUGGGAUGAUAAAUAGUUUGAAAGUUCCUUUCAGCAAACGUGCCUAAAGGACUGCGAAUGUCAACUGUACUCGUAGGAUUAGCAACAUGGAUAUGAAGCCAGGAAUUAGACAUCCCUAAUUCUUCAACCGAAAUCGCAUCAUCUAUCUCUUUCGUAGAAGAACUAUCAAAGGCGAACGCUUUAAGAUGCCUUAAAUCGACGCGUUGCGAUUCAAGUGAAUCUUUUAAUUCAUUUUUUACAAACUUUUUAAAGUGAUUACACUCACGUUCAUACACAGCAUCUAACUGAGGAUUAGUACCAAGGCCAGCAAUGCUGUAUUCCUGUUGAAACAACCUCGGGGGCUGCCAUGAAGCCCACACGCCAAUAUCCGUUAAGAAUUUAGCAAACUGAUCACUAGUUAAUCCCCUCUCGUGAGUUUGAAGGCCAACUUCUUUGUAAACCUGACA